rnacentral:antisense_RNA from 1 species
GAAAGAUAUUCUGUAAACCAUUUUUGACAUUCCAUUAAAUUAACUUUGGAAAUAUCCUCAAAAUAAUUUCUUUUCACCUUAAAGUCUCUCUCCAAAAUAUAACAUAUAUCAUCCAUAGAUACAAAAUGUCCUGGCCCAUAUUUCCCUCUAUAUUUAACCAUUUUGAAACCUUUAAUCAUAUUUUCAUGUAAAAUGGUUGCUCUUUGUCCCCAGAGUAAAGGUAAUUCUUCGCCUUUGCAUCCAUUGUCAAUAUAGGAGUAGUUAAUCAAAGCAUUAUUCCUUGUUUGGUAUGCCUUAAUAUUAUAUUCUUUAUUGGGUCUCACUAAUUGCGCUGUGAUUUGUUCUCCAUGGAUAACUGGAACUGCGGCAUAAUGCUGGUUUAUCUCACCAUUUUUAGUAUAAUAGCCUUCGUCUUUUUUAAUAUAGUUUCUUCUCCCUUCUUUAAUAUAAUCUCC